rnacentral:lncRNA from 1 species
AGGACGACAACGUUUAUCAAGCAUAGGUCGUUGUGUGCCAUAUAGGUUGGUUGUCCUCUUAACCAAUGAGUGUGGAGACACUGGUAUGGCAUACAGGUGAGAUGUAAGGGUACAUCUGCACUGAACGUGACCGACUCUGAAGCUAUUUCUGCUGUCAAGAUUUGCUUCGAUGGAAUAUGAGUAUAAAUAUCCCUCCAACCUGAGACCGCCACGAUGACUUGCAAGCAACUGACUGUACUUAGGC